rnacentral:rRNA from 1 species
GUGUCAGCCGCCGCGGUAAUACGUAGGUGGCAAGCGUUGUCCGGAAUUAUUGGGCGUAAAGGGUGCGUAGGCGGUUUUUUAAGUGGGAUGUGAAAUACCUAGGCUUAACUUAGGAAUGGCAUUCCAAACUGGAAGACUAGAGUGCAGGAGAGGAAAGUGGAAUUCCCAGUGUAGCGGUGAAAUGCGUAGAGAUUGGGAGGAACACCAGUGGCGAAGGCGACUUUCUGGACUGUAACUGACGCUGAUGCACGAAAGCGUGGGGAGCAAACAGGAUUAGAUACCCUGGUAGUCCACGCUGUAAACUAUGAGUACUAGGUGUGGGGGGCGAAGCCCUCUGUGCCGCAGUUAACACAAUAAGUACUCCGCCUGGGAAGUACGAUCGCAAGAUUAAAACUCAAAUGAAUUGGCGG